UAGUAACCCAGCAAACCAUGUUGUUAUAUGCGCCUUCCCGUUACAUAACAUCCCUAAGAAAUGAGGUAUAUACCUGAUACAUCUCAAAACUAAUGUAUCUGAUACAUAACAUUUCAUAUAUCCAUGAAAUUAUUUGACUUAUUCAUAUAUCAUAUAUGUAACAUUGUUAUAUUACUGAAGUUACGUAUAUGAUACAUCUUCCAGCAUCCCUAAAAACAAUAUUACUCUGAUAUCUACUAGUGUGUAAUAUAGUUACAUAUCAUAUAUGUAACAUUCGCAAUAUAUAUUUUACAUUGCUAAUAUUAUGUAAAAGCUAUGUAAAUAUAGCAUAUUCAUGAUAUAUUACUCAGAUCUAUACAAGUACUCUUAUAAUACAUAACCUUUAUUAAAGUUGAACUGUUUAGAGAUUUUUGCCAGGACUAGUCCAGUGAAAAGUGAUAUGCAUUUUCUAACUUUUGAUUGUUAGUUAGAAGUGAUGAACUAUAAUAAUAAUAAUAUUCAAUAUUCUUUGAUUUUUCAUCAAUUCCGGAUUACUUUCAUCGUGGAAAUAUGUGAGAUAAAAAGUGAAAAACUGUAAUAAUAAUAUUCAACAUUCGAUGAUUUUUCACCAAUUCCAGAUUAGUUUCAUAGUGAAAAUAUGUGAGGUUUUGCAUCUCAAUCUUUUAUCCAAUGUGCAGACUUUGAGAAGAUAGAUAUCAGCCGAGUGGAUAAGGCUGGCCACAUUGAGGAUCAAGAGACAAAAAUAAGUUUUGGUUGAUGUAGGUACUGUGAUUACAUUAAAAAUUUUCAAUAAUUCUAUGAUCUUUCAUUUAACAAACACCCAAUUGUUAAAUUAUUAAAUCCUGUUUUACUAUUCAUAAAUUAUUUGUAAUAUUUCAAAUGUGGUGCAUACCAAACGUAGGAAUCUGGUUUUUGUUGAAUUUUCUAGGUUCAAAAUAAUAAUAUUGUUGACUAAAAAAUAUCUUUCUAGCAAAAAAUGAAAGAUGGAGUUUAAAUAUAUAUUUUUGGAAUGCACCUUAAUUCAUAAGUAUCUCUUUUCAUGUAAUUUAUAAGUGAUAUAUCUCUUAUUAAUUGAUGUUGGCUAGAUACCAGCAGUUUUAGUUUCAAUUGGUAUUGUGUAUCAUUUGUUAUAUUUUUGUUUGGAAGGUAUUGAAAAAAAUUCCAACAAAUUCACUAAAACAUAAUUUGUGUGGUGUCGGCAUAUUUAGAUUUUUUAUAUGUAGUUUGAUUAGUUUUUC